CACAGAGAGCUUGCUCUCGGGUGACAAGCGGCGGAGGGGUGAUUAAUGUCUGGGAAACUGCCUGAUGGAGGGGGAUAACUACUGGAAACGGUAGCUAAUACCGCAUAACGUCGCAAGACCAAAGUGGGGGACCUUCGGGCCUCAUGCCAUCAAAUGUGCCCAGAUGGGAUUAGCUAGUAGGUGGGGUAACGGCUCACCUAGGCGACGAUCCCUAGCUGGUCUGAGAGGAUGACCAGCCACACUGGAACUGAAACACGGUCCAAACUCCUACGGGAGGCAGCAGUGGGGAAUAUUGCACAAUGGGCGCAAGCCUGAUGCAGCCAUGCCGCGUGUGUGAAGAAGGCCUUCGGGUUGUAAAGCACUUUCAGCGGGGAGGAAGGCGGUGAGGUUAAUAACCUCGGCGAUUGACGUUACCCGCAAAAGAAGCACCGGCUAACUCCGUGCCAGCAGCCGCGGUAAUACGGAGGGUGCAAGCGUUAAUCGAAAUUACUGGGCGUAAAGCGCACGCAGGCGGUCUGUCAAGUCGGAUGUGAAAUCCCCGGGCUCACCCUGGGAACUGCAUUCGAAACUGGCAGGCUAGAGUCUUGUAGAGGGGGGUAGAAUUCCAGG
rnacentral:rRNA from 1 species